rnacentral:lncRNA from 1 species
GACGGUUUGUCCAGGUCCCCUAGGGAGAAAAGGGGAUGGUCCCAGUAGGGCAGGGUGAAAUGGAGAGUUCCAAACCUCCACCUCAGAUCCAGGUGAGAAUUCUCUUCUAGACUGAGGACAACUCCCUCAGGAGAGAGACAUGAUUCCUUGGUAUAUUUUGAGGAACAAGAUUAUGCAUCCGUAGGCAGGGGAGGAGAGCGGGGGGCUGGAACUGUCACCCAGGGCCUGGAACUUGUAGCAGAAGCGCCCCCACCCGCACAAAGAGUGCCACCCAGGCAGAAUCGCGGCUUGUGGGGGCAGAGCUACUGCCUAAGUCUGAAGCAGAUGACACCCAGGAGUGGAGCCUUGUGCCUGUGACCGGGAAGGAAUCUGAGCUUUCGGUUUAACUGCCAUUCACCAUGCACCUGUUGAGCACCUACUGUGUGCAGGCACUGUCUGUUGCAGCCACUGAGAAGAAAGCAGUGAGCCCUGGCUGGGUGCAAUGGCUCACGCCUGUAAUCCCAGCACUUUGGGAGGCCAAGGCAGGAGGAUCGCUUGAGACCAGGAGUUCAACACCAGCCUGGGCAUCAUAGCGAGAC